AACGCUAGCUACAGGCUUAACACAUGCAAGUCGAGGGGCAGCAUGAACUUAGCUUGCUAAGUUUGAUGGCGACCGGCGCACGGGUGAGUAACACGUAUCCAACCUUCCGUACACUCAGGGAUAGCCUUUCGAAAGAAAGAUUAAUACCUGAUGGUAUCUUAAGCACACAUGUAAUUAAGAUUAAAGAUUUAUCGGUGUACGAUGGGGAUGCGUUCCAUUAGGUAGUAGGCGGGGUAACGGCCCACCUAGCCUACGAUGGAUAGGGGUUCUGAGAGGAAGGUCCCCCACAUUGGAACUGAGACACGGUCCAAACUCCUACGGGAGGCAGCAGUGAGGAAUAUUGGUCAAUGGACGAGAGUCUGAACCAGCCAAGUAGCGUGAAGGAUGAAGGUCCUACGGAUUGUAAACUUCUUUUAUAAGGGAAUAAAACCUCCCACGUGUGGGAGCUUGUAUGUACCUUAUGAAUAAGCAUCGGCUAACUCCGUGCCAGCAGCCGCGGUAAUACGGAGGGUGCGAGCGUUAUCCGGAUUUAUUGGGUUUAAAGGGAGCGCAGACGGGUCGUUAAGUCAGCUGUGAAAGUUUGGGGCUCAACCUUAAAAUUGCAGUUGAUACUGGCGUCCUUGAGUGCGGUUGAGGUGUGCGGAAUUCGUGGUGUAGCGGUGAAAUGCUUAGAUAUCACGAAGAACUCCGAUUG
rnacentral:rRNA from 1 species